rnacentral:tRNA from 1 species
GGCACUGUAGCUCAAUUGGUAGAGCGCCGGAUUGAAACCCCGGAGGCUUCAGGUUCAAGUCCUGACAUUGCCA